rnacentral:tRNA from 1 species
AGGGAAGAAGCUACCAAUUAUAGCAAUUAGUUGUUACCUAAUAGAAAGUGAACCAUUUCACCUACCCUAC